AUGUAGGGCAAUCUGAUUUAAGAAGGGAUAAAUUACUCUUGAAUAAAAUGAUCCUAGAUAGUUUCCCCUUCAAGUCGUGUCUUGU
rnacentral:pre_miRNA from 1 species